rnacentral:misc_RNA from 1 species
UGUGGGAGCGAGCCUGCUCGCGAUAACGGUAUGUCAGCUUGCGGUGAUGUGAUUGUGCUGACGCCAUCGCGAGCAGGCUCGCUCCCACA